rfam:Bos taurus Ctg31.CH240-469A11, whole genome shotgun sequence.
UUUGGGGGCAGUGUUUACAGACUCUUCUUCUCUGCCUCCGCCCUGCUCUUGGCCCGAGCUUCGUGCCUCUUCUGUUUUCUAGCCAGACCCGGAAAAACGAAAACACUGCUCCGAGAGCCCCCACCAGCUGGCGCCUGUGCCAGCUCACCUCUGGUCAUGGCAUGGCGCAGCUGCCUGCCGGUGCACACCGCGGCCAAGGCCAGCUCCACAUUCUUCCCUCAUUCUCCCCAAUUCGCCGGAGACCAAGCCCUGAAUGCAGAGGAAGGGCCCCAGCUCCACAGACUG